rnacentral:lncRNA from 1 species
CACCAGGAUUUAAUGUGGUUCGACAAUGUGCCUACGUCCACGAGCGAAGAUGAGCAAUUCCACUAUCAAGAUUAUAAUGGAGAAGCACACAAAAUUUUUAAAAAUUUUUUAAGAGGCCUGUACACCAACAAUUUUUCUCUCAAUAUAUGUCUUUUUGCAAAAUAGAGAAAGAAAAAUAUGAAAGGAGGCACAGUGCUGCGAGAUCGUGAAUUGCUGGGAGCCUGGGACAUGAACCACCGCUUGAGAAGUUAAAAGAUGUGAACUGUUUCACGUCCUCUUGAAGUGGCGUGAAAAAAAAAUACUGAACCCUAGGC